AGUGAACGCUGGCGGUAGGCCUAACACAUGCAAGUCGAACGGCAGCACAGUAAGAGCUUGCUCUUACGGGUGGCGAGUGGCGGACGGGUGAGGAAUACAUCGGAAUCUACUUUUUCGUGGGGGAUAACGUAGGGAAACUUACGCUAAUACCGUAUACGACCUACGGGUGAAAGCAGGGGAUCUUCGGACCUUGCGCGAUUGAAUGAGCCGAUGUCGGAUUAGCUAGUUGGCGGGGUAAAGGCCCACCAAGGCGACGAUCCGUAGCUGGUUUGAGAGGAUGAUCAGCCACACUGGAACUGAGACACGGUCCAGACUCCUACGGGAGGCAGCAGUGGGGAAUAUUGGACAAUGGGCGCAAGCCUGAUCCAGCCAUACCGCGUGGGUGAAGAAGGCCUUCGGGUUGUAAAGCCCUUUUGUUGGGAAAGAAAAGCAGCAGGUUAAUACCCCGCUGUUCUGACGGUACCCAAAGAAUAAGCACCGGCUAACUUCGUG
rnacentral:rRNA from 1 species